UACGAAGGGGGCUAGCGUUGCUCGGAAUCACUGGGCGUAAAGGGUGCGUAGGCGGGUCUUUAAGUCAGGGGUGAAAUCCUGGAGCUCAACUCCAGAACUGCCUUUGAUACUGAGGAUCUUGAGUACGGGAGAGGUGAGUGGAACUGCGAGUGUAGAGGUGAAAUUCGUAGAUAUUCGCAAGAACACCAGUUGCGAAGGCGGCUACCUGGACAUAAACUGACACUGAGGCACGAAAGCGUGGGUAGCGAACAGG
rnacentral:rRNA from 1 species